UGAAAAUAUACUCCAUGCUGGAUUCAGCUCUCUUUAUUUCUCUUUUCCUUUUGCUGCUGCUGAGUUUGAUCUUUUCAACAUGGCAGUACUGCUAUAUUUGCACAGUUGGACAUCCACCAUAAAUAGCCUUACAUUGUAACAAGGCUAGGACACACAAGAAUGGCUCCAUACUGGCACACCUAUUCUAUUCCUGGGUCUGGAAUGUGUUGUCCUUGGUGGAACUACAGGGACCUCUGUGUUGAUCUCUUCUGUGCAAUGGGCCCUGUGCUGGUCCUUGAAUGGCAGCUGCUUCAGGAGGGUUCCUGCAAAGCACCAUGGCACAUCAACCCUCGUCUAGACCUGGGAGCAAAUUGUUAAGAAGAUUGAGGGCAAGAUCAGCAUCUGUUUGAAUUCUAGGUGAAUGGUUUCUUCUAAAGGGACUGUGGUUUGGGAGGUGUUACCAGCUGGAACCACUUGGGAUUAUUACUCUUUUAGGUAAGCACAUUAGUCUUCAGCCAGACUGCCUAGGCUUAGAUAGUUCUGUGCAGAAUUGGGCUGUUAAUACACAUUGUGCUUAGGCACAAUGGCUUUUUACCCUGCUAACGUCCACAAGUGAUUUCUUCAUUCUACCUUCUUGAAAAGUGCAAUAUUAAAUAUGUUCUCUACAAAGCUGAAAAAGUGUACCCUAUUUUCACAAGCUCCUUCUUUUCCAUUGGCACAAGAAAAUGCAAGUAACUCUUGGAAAGUUCAUGUAUGAUGAUGUAAUUUUAUGCAGAAAAACGUAUUUUCUGUUACAUCAAAAUCAGUGAUGAUUAAUUAUGCCUCAGAGUGGUCAGGUUUCUGGUCUUGCAGGAAACAGCUUCUCAUAUUGUAGGGACAUAUAAGCAUCUUUUCCAAAGAAGUGUGAGAGUGCAUGUAUGAGUAUGCCUGCUUUUCUGAUCCCUUUGUUGAUUGAUAGUAUUUCAAUAAAGAAAUAGUUCUCACUCAUUUUCAUAUUAAUUAGUCAAAAAUAACUUACCUGUCACUCACACAUGACUCAGGGAUGCUGCUCUGCCCCUUUGCAAAGCACCAGUGUGGUUGCGCACCAGAGUUUGUCGGGCUGGAUCAGCGACCAGCUAAGACUAUAAUUUGUGGCUGGAGCAAGAUCCACUACAGCACUGGUUUUAUUUAAAACAAAGACCCAGGCACAUGCUACAUAUAUGUGUUAUGCCAUCAUUGGAUGAUUCAUGUUAUUCUCUGAAAAUAUAAUGCAUCAUUAUUUAUUCUAAAACAUAAGUGAUUUGGUUCUGUGUCAAUUUUAUUUGCCAUCAAUACUGUUUUCAUUUUUGAUGGAACCUUGCCAACCUUUCCUGUUCUCCUUGCUCUAACCAAGGCCCUGAAAGCUGACUUUCACAGGCUGUCUGUGAUUAGACAGUGGAGUCUCUGUAAGUGUGGUCUCAUAUGAGCAGCUGUAUGUUUUUCUGUAGAGGGAACUUGUCAUUAAAGAACUGAGAAGAUGAGUGGGUGGUACCUUGGACUGUUUUUCUUUUAA